rnacentral:rRNA from 1 species
GAUCAUGGCUCAGGAUGAACGCUAGCGACAGGCCUAACACAUGCAAGUCGAGGGGCAGCGAAGAGGUAGCAAUACCUUUGCCGGCGACCGGCNCACGGGUGAGUAACACGUAUGCAAUCCACCUGUAACAGGGGGAUAACCCGGAGAAAUCCGGACUAAUACCCCAUAAUAUGGGCGCUCCGCAUGGAGAGCCCAUUAAAGAGAGCAAUUUUGGUUACAGACGAGCAUGCGCU